rnacentral:rRNA from 1 species
AUUGAACGCUGGCGGCAGGCCUAACACAUGAAAGUCGAGCGAGCGGCGGACGGGUGAGUAAUGUAUGGGGAGCUGCCCGAUAGAGGGGGAUAACUAAUGGAAACGGUGGCUAAUACCGCAUACUAACGGAUGAACCCAUAUGGGCUUAGAUAGUAGGUGGGGUAAAGGCUCACCAAGGCGAAGAUCUCUAGCUGGUCUGAGAGGAGGAUCAGCCACACUGGGAGUGAGACACGGCCCAGACUCCUACGGGAGGCAGCAGUGGGGAAUAUUGCACAAUGGGCGCAAGCCUGAUGCAGCCAUGCCGCGUGUAUGAAGAAGGCCUUAGGGUUGUAAAGUACUUUCAGCGGGGAGGCGUUACCCGCAGAAGAAGCACCGGCUAACUCCGUGCCAGCAGCCUCGGUAAUAC